rnacentral:rRNA from 1 species
GACGAACGCUGGCGGCGUGCUUAACACAUGCAAGUCGAACGGUAAGGCCCCUUCGGGGGUACACGAGUGGCGAACGGGUGAGUAACACGUGGGUGAUCUGCCCUGCACAUCGGGAUAAGCCUGGGAAACUGGGUCUAAUACCGAAUAGGACCACGGGAUGCAUGUCCUGUGGUGGAAAGCUUUUGCGGUGUGGGAUGGGCCCGCGGCCUAUCAGCUUGUUGGUGGGGUGAUAGCCCACCAAGGCGACGACGGGUAGCCGGCCUGAGAGGGUGUCCGGCCACACUGGGACUGAGAUACGGCCCAGACUCCUACGGGAGGCAGCAGUGGGGAAUAUUGCACAAUGGGCGAAAGCCUGAUGCAGCGACGCCGCGUGGGGGAUGACGGCCUUCGGGUUGUAAACCUCUUUCAGCAGGGACGAAGCGCAAGUGACGGUACCUGCAGAAGAAGCACCGGCCAACUACGUGCCAGCCGCCGCCGUAAAAC